CAGUGUAGGAUGAGAAGAAACCUGAAGAUGCACCACAGUCUGAGGUUGAGAAGGACAAGGAGGGCGCGGAGAAUGAAGAAGAAGAAAAGGAACCUGAGGAUAAGGAGAUGACUCUGGAGGAAUAUGAAAAGGUACUGGAGGAAAAACGAAAAGCUUUACUCUCCCUUAAGGCUGAGUAGAGAAAAGUUGAAAUUGACAAGGAGUACAGGCCAUGCAACAACUGCCAGUUAAAAAGGAUGGCGAUGAAGUGUUUAUCAAGCUGGGCUCUGACAAGGACUUGAAAAAGAAAGAAAGUGCUGAAAGAGAAGAACGGGGCAACAAGGUAUAUA